GAUGAACGCUGGCGGCGUGCCUAAUACAUGCAAGUCGAGCGAACAGACGAGGAGCUUGCUCCUCUGACGUUAGCGGCGGACGGGUGAGUAACACGUGGAUAACCUACCUAUAAGACUGGGAUAACUUCGGGAAACCGGAGCUAAUACCGGAUAAUAUAUUGAACCGCAUGGUUCAAUAGUGAAAGACGGUUUUGCUGUCACUUAUAGAUGGAUCCGCGCCGCAUUAGUUAGUUGGUAAGGUAACGGCUUACCAAGGCGACGAUGCGUAGCCGACCUGAGAGGGUGAUCGGCCACACUGGAACGGAGACACGGUCCAGACUCCUACGGGAGGAAGCAGUAGGGAAUCUUCCGCAAUGGGCGAAAGCCUGACGGAGCAACGCCGCGUGAGUGAUGAAGGUCUUCGGAUCGUAAAACUCUGUUAUUAGGGAAGAACAAAUGUGUAAGUAACUAUGCACGUCUUGACGGUACCUAAUCAGAAAGCCACGGCUAACUACGUG
rnacentral:rRNA from 1 species